CAGCUCUCCGAGUGGUAGGGAUGAUUAUUGGGCUUAAAGCGUCCGUAGCCGGCUUAGCAAGUCUCCUGUUAAAUUCAGCGACCUAAUCGUUGAGCCGCGGGAGAUACUACUAGGCUAGGAGGCGGGAGAGGCCGACGGUACUUCCGGGGUAGGGGUGAAAUCCUAUAAUCCCGGGCGGACCACCAGUGGCGAAGGCUGUCGGCUAGAACGCGCUCGACGGUGAGGGACGAAAGCUGGGGGAGCGAACCGGAUUAGAUACCCGAGUAGUCC
rnacentral:rRNA from 1 species